AAUGCAUAACUUUAUUAAAUAAAUGCUUUGUCAUGGCAAAAGUCAAAGAUCAAGGAGUAACAUAAAUUAUAAGUUGAAUAAAUAGUAUACAGAAGUCUUCUUCACCUUUUAAGAAAACGUGAGAUCAUUUGUUGGUUUGGUUUUUAUUUCCUUAAGUACAAAAUGCUAAACAGAGCAGAGCUCUUCCGCAUUCAGGUGUUUUUUUUUUUAUGCCCGCUUUUUUUUUUUUCUCACAAACUGGUUUUGUUUGUUGAUUUAUUUUUCCAUCCAUUUCACCAAUAAAGAUUAUCAUCAUUUAUUUUUGUUUUUAAAGUUGAAAACAAAAAAGAGAACAGAGCUAUGGUACGUAUGUUGUAUGUAAAACUAUAAAGAACUACAGUUAAUAUGUGCUGUGAUUAUUGCUGUCUUCCAAAAAAAAAAAAAUAAGAAAAGAAAAAAGCAACAUGAACAACCGGUAGGCGACUCGGAAUCUGAAGGAAUCUUGUCUGACAACGGUGCUAUCCAUGUGGGCUACUGUGUGAUGGUGGCGGUGGACGAGAGACUCCGGCUGGGACCGGAGGAGUGGGUGAACGGGCACAGGGAGGCUGGGGUCCCCUUCUCCUCGGACCCUCCCCGCCUUUUCUUUCCCCAUCCAAAAGGAUUUCCGGAGAGGAGGCCAGAGUCUGUGAAAUGGCUAAACUGUAUACUCCAUUAGAAAACCAGGAAAGUAUGUUUUAAAAAAGAAACAAAAGCCCAAGAGAAAAAAAAAGUGGAGAAACAGUGCAACGUAACUCUCGCACUUUAGUGGUUUUAAAAACACAGACAGUACAAGGCCCGGGUUGCUGGUUGGUGAAACCCCUGUUCCUCGUCCUCCUCCACUCUGCAGAACCGAGCCUCCUCUCUCCCGGAAGCCAGACGCGUCCUCUCUGACGCUACGGGGCUUCUUCUCCUUAGAGAGCUCUUCUCUGAGGUUCCCACCCUGGACCGAAGCCCUCUCGGGUGAGUGGAUGGGUCCGGGGUACUGUCCUGCUUUGAGGGGGGCCUGGCGGUUGCCGUGGCAGCCCUGUCUUGCUAACAGCUGGCUGGGGGGGAGGCCCACCCUCUAGAGGAGGCCAGCCCUGUGGGGGCGCCGUGGAGGCCACAGAGGUGGCGGUGGGGAGAUAGGGUGAGAGAGAAGGGGUGUCAUCAGAAAAGGACCUCCCGGGGCCUCCUGCACCUGCCUUCCUCCCCCUGCGGGGUCGGUAUCCCCAGGCCUGUCUGUCUAGGCCUGGCUGUCAGAGAAAUGCUCCAGUCUCUUCCUCCCCAGGGGCCCUGCCCUGCCGGGUGGGUCAGAGCAGGCCGAGGAAGGAGCGUCAGUCCUGGCUGGGCUUCCUUAUCUCCUGGCAGUAGUGGGAAAGACAGAGGCGUCUUCUCCACUGCCAGAGUCAGGAACGAGUCUAAAGGGGAUGGGAAGAGACCUUCUGUGGGUGUGGGUGUGCGAGUGGGCAGCACUUAGACCCGGAGCCAUUGAUAUCCUGGAGUCCAAGGUCUCUGGGUGAGCAGACAGUUGGCCAAAGGCCAGUCUGGAGUCAAGCAGCCCCCUGCUUAGAUUGCCACGCUCACACCUUUCCAAACCUGCCUCCCUCGCUCACACCCUGCCGUGGGGUAAGAGGUGCCAUCUUCCUUCAACGCCUCCCUUCCCAGGGUUUCCCCACCCUGGGCCCAGCCAGACCUCCUGGGAGGCUCAGUUCCAUGUGUCCAUGAAGGCCCAGCUUCUCCAGGGAGUGACCAACUGUCCAGGAGCACCCCCUGAACCCAGAAGAGACUCACAGGUUUGGGUGAGCAGGCAUGAACUUCGGAGACUGGAACAGUCUGGUGAACUCACACCAGGCCUUAAUCCCCAACCUCAAGGCUGGCAGCAGAAAGCCAAUGCGAGGGGCAGACGCCCACUCAGAGUCCAGACACAGUGGGUGAAGAGAGAGCUCCUCUCUGGAGUCAGGUCCAGGCUGGGAGGAAUGUCGGGGGAGCUUGUAGUUCCUGGCUCAGUCUUUUCUUAGGGGAGUGGCACCCCAGUAUCCGCUUGGCAGAUCUUAGUUGGAUGACUGCUCAAGAUGCAAAGGAAGAAUGGGUGGGAAGAGGGGUGGCGAGGAAGAGAUUUGGGAUACUGGCCUAAGACAUACGGAAACGUGAGUUGGGUUUAGGGGACAGUAGUGCAGAGAGAUGGGGUGUGCUGACUCGGCAGGUCAGGUCCCGUGCUGCUGGCCCUGCUGGGUCCCUUUGUCUCAGGAAGACUGAGCACUUCUCCUGUCCCCAGCCAACUGUCCUAUCCAGAGGCGUCGGACACAGCCCCCAAGUUCUAUAGCUGUAGGGUUUCCAUCCGUUGAAGCAGAUUUGCUUUUUUGCUAUUCCUCUUCCUAGCCCUAUGUUGGAGGCAGCCUCCACUGUGUCAUGCCAUUAGCAAAGAGUGAAGAGAGCUGUGUCCACGGCACGAAGGGGUCUCCUGGCCAGUGUCCAAGCCCCGCUUCCUGGAUAUCUUCAGCCUUAGAGGACAGUCACAAGGCCACCAUUGGUUGAGGAAGUCAUUGGAGAAUGGGAUUUUUCUUGGUUCAGAAUCUGGCUGCCAAGUGACAGCAUCCCUGAAUCCUGUGUUCCCUGCUUGUCUCAGCCUCCCUUCCAUCCUCCACCCCAGGGAGGAGGCAGGGACUGGCCAGAAUGGAGGACGAGCGGGAGAGACUCGUGGGCCUCCAUCCCUCAUCGCAGGCUGAAGGUGGGCACAUAGGCUUGCCUCUUCCAAAGCAUGGCCAGUUUCUGCUGAUUCUUGUUCCUAUCCGGCUUCUAAAGUCUGGCACCCUCCUAAAGUUACCCACCUUCCCUGGCUCUGUGGCCUGGAUUAAGCUCAUUUCUAUUUUACAACCCAUUCUCUCAUUUUCCUCUCUUUCCUCUCAAAUCCCAGAAGGCAUACAGGGUGGGGAAGCUAAGGCUUUUCCCCCUUUCUGCUGCUUUGUGCCAAAGCUAGAAUGGGACAGUCAGCCCCUGUCCCUGCAGCCCUCUCUUCCUCCCCACAUCUACUCUGGCCUGAACCGUCAAUCUUACUGUUGUGCAUCUAAACCGUUUUACCUCUCCCUCUGCCAUCUCUUCAGUCUCUCUCCUGCUCUGCUAGUGUGGAGAAGAGAGGCUUCCAAAAACGCAGGUUCUGUUCAGAUGAAAGGAGAAGGCUGGGGUGGGAUUGGGGGAUCCGUCAUGGACUGUUGGGCUCAUGCAGUGGGUGUCCAGAGACUGUGACUUCCUGAGGGUUUAAAGACUGAAAUGGGACUGAGGCGCGUGCCAUGUGCACCACUGAGGACUGGCCUGUGCCUGGCUCGGUGGGUGCAGAUGAACAUGCGUGGGGAAUCACUGUCAGGUCCAGCACUGUGCCCCACAAGACAGCUGAGUUUAUUGCUUACGGGAAACUCUGCCUCGAGGCAGGCAAAAAUGCUAUUACGGGUUGUAUGAGGAGAAUAUGGGUUUUCUCAGUUUUUCCAGAAUGAGGGAGCUCCUCAAUGCCCCUAUAGGAACUACUUUAAAAA